rnacentral:rRNA from 1 species
AUGAUAGGUUGUUUUUGGAACAUCAGAGGGUUGAAUGGCCCCAUUAAAGUUGACAAGCUUAAAGAGCUCAUUAGAGCCAAUAGCCCUGAUUUUAUUUGUAUAUCUGAGACUAAGAAAGAAGAGUUUACUCUUCUCCAGAUUGAAGCCUUUGAUCCCAGAUCUGUUUUCCAAUGGAAAUGGCUUCCUGCAAGUAACACUGGGGGGAUCUUAGUUGGAUGUAAGGUGGAUAUGUUUGAUUUAAUUCAGUGUGGUUUACACAACUUCAGCAUUUCUUGCUUGAUUAAAAACAAGCAAGAUCUCUCCAUUUGGAGACCUGUUGCAGUUUAUGGCAUUGCAUAUGACCAGUUUAAAAUGGAUUUCAUUAAUGAACUCCACUCCCUGCUAACUAACUGGGUAGGGCCCACUCUGGUUGGAGGAGAUUUCAAUUUAAUUAGAGAGGCU